UACGGGGGGGGGCAAGCGUUGUUCGGAAUUACUGGGCGUAAAGGGCUCGUAGGCGGCCAACUAAGUCCGACGUGAAAUCCCAAGGCUUAACCUUGGAACUGCGUCGGAUACUGGAUGGCUUGAAUUCGGGAGAGGGAUGCAGAAUUCCAGGUGUAGCGGUGAAAUGCGUAGAUAUCUGGAGGAAUACCGGUGGCGAAGGCGGCAUCCUGGACCGACAUUGACGCUGAGGAGCGAAAGCUAGGGGAGCAAACGGG
rnacentral:rRNA from 1 species